UUCACCCUUAUUUGAAUGGAAAAAAAAACAUUUUCAUACAUGAAAUUUGCCUUGGUGUUUUGGUGCAUAACAAUACUGUAAAAAUAGCAAGAGAUAAUACAAAAUAAACAGUCAAGAAACAUAAAUGAAAUAAAAGAAAUUGACAAUAAAAAGAUGGACAAUAUAACUUUUUAAAAUGAAGAGCUGUACAGUUUUGUGCAGGAAUGUGCAAAAUAUUGUCCAAGAAAUCUGCAAGAGUUUACAGUACAAAGUAUAGUAAUUAACUAAAUGGCUGCGAGUGCGGCUGGGUGGAGCCGCACAGCGAGCUCACAGUGGGAGCAAUGGGAGUAAUGGACAUGAUGUCAUUUGCAAAAGCAUACACCAACACAGAAACUAAUGAGCCGUUGGGUAAAUGGAAAAUAAAACUACUUUUCAGACUACCUCACCUUGAAGUGAGAGAAACAAUUUUCACUUCAGUUACCUUGACUGUGUUUGACUUCAAUUAAAUUCCUGCCUGACCUCAUAUUUAGGCUACUCCAUCUCUUUUUUCUCAUUUUUUUAUUCUGCCUUUUUUUGUUUUGCUGGCAGCUGGCAUGCAUUAGUGUUCUGUCAUGGGCACAGCUUAACUCAGCAAGGUCAAUGAAACAACUGGAAUGUUUUCAUUUCGGUGUUUGUAUAUUUGUUCUUGCCGUGUUUUUGACCUCUGAAACAUAUUUUCAGAAGGAUGUGCUCUCUAGGGCCAGAUGGUGCCACAAUAUGUAGCAUUAUUGUAGCUCAGGGCACAAUUACAGGGGUGAUAAAAUGAAAGGGAUGGACGAAUGGAAGGAAGCAAAGAUGGAGGUGAAUGAUGAAUUCUUUGACACAAAAAUCUCCUAACAACUUUGACUAAACAAAAUUGUCAUUGUUUGAAUGAGCUGAACAAGUUGUUUUUGCCAAACAAUUCCGGCUGCAGAGCAAAAAAAGUCAAAGUUUUUGUAAGUUUGCAUAAUUUAUUGUUGUUUCACAAGAAGUAAUGCUGAUUCUCUCCCGGUUCAUGUUUCAGGCUUGUAGUCGGCUGCAGUUGUACUGUGCUGCUUUCUAUCAUUCAGUUUUAUCUUUUUUAACCUACAGGUAGCCCAAUUAUAUCUGUACAAAUCACCAUUUGCAUCACAUGACUUUUUAUACCCUUAAACUUGUUUUUUAAUAAAUGAUUUAACCAUG